UAUCACACAGGACCCUGUGGAGAUGGUGGGCCCAGUACCUGGAGAGCCAGGCAGAGAUGGACACCGCGUUGCGCUACUACGAGCUGGCCCAGGACUACUUCUCCCUGGUCCGUAUUCACUGCUUCCAGGGCAACAUUCAGAAGGCUGCUGAAAUAGCCAACGAGACUGGAGACUGGGCUGCAUCCUACCACCUUGCCCGGCAGUACGAGAGCCAGGAUGAGGUAAAACAGGCAGUGCACUUCUACACACGGGCACAGGCUUUCAACAACGCCAUCCGCCUGUGCAAGGUAUGUGGUUCCUCCUGGCACGAGGCAGACGAUGCUCUGCUGUGCUGUAUCCUGUGCUAAUUGGUCUCGGAAACUUCACUGGGCAACAACAAGGUGAGGAAAUAACAGG
rnacentral:lncRNA from 1 species